rnacentral:tRNA from 1 species
UUUAAAGUAAGCUAACUUAAGCUAGUGGGUUCAUACCCCAAAAAUGAUUUUACAUCCUUUAAUA